AAUCUCUCCUAAAAAUAGAUACAAAGUUCAAACAUUAAUAGAAAUGUCAGAUUUGGCAGGCUACAAAUGAGAGACAAUCUGAAAAGAGAUGUUUUGUCUUGAAGCUGAAAGUAGUAACUUUGCUUUUCCUAUAAAUAGUUGAAGCAUGGCUGGAGCUCUUGGACAAAGUUAUGGCUUCCAAUCUUUUCAAAAUGGAUAAAAGCAUCUUCAAAAGGUUGGUGGAGAUGGGCUGCCAAUUGUGCUGCCACCUAGGCACUCCACCCGGGAGCCACAUUGGAUGCCAACUAGGAUGGACUUGCUGACGUGGCUGCCACAUGUAUGCCAACUUGGACGGAUGCCACUUGGUCUCUUGGCUCCUCAAAUAUGCAAAGAAAUGUACAGCAAGGUUGGCUUCUCUCUUCCACGUCCCAACCGAAUACUUGCAAGAGGUUGGACUUGGUGAUGUGCUUAUGCACCAAGCCUUGAAGCUUCUUAGCCAUUGCUCUAGUUAUUGGCCCUUGAUGUGCAAUUGGUGUAACCGGUUCCUCAUCAUCCUCUCCCUCUUCGAAAGAAUUCGUCCUCGAAUUGUCAUCAUCAGCAUAGAAAGGAGCAAGAUCAGUCACAUUAAAUGUAGCACUUACACCAUACUCACCUGGAAGGUUUAUCUUGUAUGCAUUGUCAUUAAUUCUCUCUAGCACUUCAAAAGGUCCAUCACUCCUAGGCUGAAGUUUUGAUUUCCUUUGUGUAGGAAACCUCUCCUUUCUCAAAUGAACCCAUACAAGAUCACCAGGUUGGAACACCAUCUUCUUUCUUCCCUUGUUAGCUUGGGCUGCCCUCCUCUCAUUCACUUUCUCCAUUUGUUGCUUUGCUUUUUGAUGCAUUUGUUUCACCAUUUCAGCUUUCCUUUUGCCAUCUAAACUAGCAAGCUCAUUAGUAGGCAAAGGUAACAAAUCUAAAGGAGUUAGUGGAUUAAAACCAUAUACAAGUUCAAAGGGUGAAUAACCAAUAGAUGAAUGCAUAGACCUGUUGUAUGCAAAUUCUAUGAAUGGUAUGCACUCCUCCCAAGCUUUCAAGUUUUGUUUAAUCAUUGCACGUAGAAGAGUGCCCACGGUCCUAUUGACAACUUCUGUUUGCCCAUCCGUUUGUGGAUGGCAAGUGGUGGAGAAACAAAGUUUUGUUCCUAAUUUUCCCCACAAGACUUUCCAAAAAUGGCUUAGAAAUUUCACAUCCCUAUCACUAACAAUUGUUCUAGGAAUGCCAUGCAAUCUAACUAUCUCCCUAAAGAACAAAGAAGCAAUGUAAGAUGCAUCGUCAGUCUUGUGACAUGGUAUGAAAUGAGCCAUCUUGGAAAAACGAUCAACAACAACAAAAAUACUAUCAUGGCCUUUCUUUGUCCUAGGUAAACCCAAAAUGAAAUCCAUGGAUAAAUCUACCCAAGGUUCACUAGGAACACUCAAUGGCAUGUAUAGACCAUGUGGCCUUACUUUGGACUUUGCCUUCAUGCAAGUCACACAUCUAGCACACACUCUCUCUACAUCCCUCUUCAUGUGUGGCCAAUAAAAAUGUUCCUUUAAAAUUUCUAAGGUCUUUGCAACCCCAAAAUGUCCCAUUAAACCACCAGCAUGUGAUUCUUUAACAAGCAACUCUCUAAUUGAGCAUUUAGGCACACAUAAUUUAUUUUCCCUAAACAAGAAACCAUUAUGCCUAUAGAAUUUAUCAUAUGCAGCAUGUUCACAAAAGGCAAACACUUUCCCAAAGUCAUCAUCAUUAGCAUACAUUUCUUUCACAUGUUCGAAGCCUAAAAGUCUAGCGUCAAGCAUGGAAAGUAAAGUGUACCUCCUUGAAAGUGCAUCAGCCACCACAUUCUCUUUGCCUUGCUUGUAUUGAAUCACAUAUGGGAAACCUUCAAUGAAUUCACUCCACUUGGCAUGGCAUUUGUUGAGCUUGUUCUG
rnacentral:misc_RNA from 1 species